UUACGGCCGUAUCACGUUGAAACACGGGUUCCCUGACGAUGACCGAAGUUAAGCAAUAUCGUGCCUGAUCUGUACCUAGAUGGGUGUCCCCUUGUGAAUACCAAGUGGAUG